UAGGGAAUCUUCGGCAAUGGGGGAAACCCUGACCGAGCAACGCCGCGUGAGUGAAGAAGGUUUUCGGAUCGUAAAGCUCUGUUGUUAAGGAAGAACGAGUGUGAGAAUGGAAAGUUCAUACUGUGACGGUACUUAACCAGAAAGGGACGGCUAACUACGUGCCAGCAGCCGCGGUAAUACGUAGGUCCCGAGCGUUGUCCGGAUUUAUUGGGCGUAAAGCGAGCGCAGGCGGUUAGAAAAGUCUGAAGUGAAAGGCAGUGGCUCAACCAUUGUAGGCUUUGGAAACUGUUUAACUUGAGUGCAGAAGGGGAGAGUGGAAUUCCAUGUGUAGCGGUGAAAUGCGUAGAUAUAUGGAGGAACACCGGUGGCGAAAGCGGCUCUCUGGUCUGUAACUGACGCUGAGGCUCGAAAGCGUGGGGAGCGAACAG
rnacentral:rRNA from 1 species